rnacentral:ncRNA from 1 species
CGACCUCAGAUCAGGCGGGACUACCCGCCGGAUUUAAGCAUAUUAAUAAGCGGAGGAAAAGAAAACAACCGUGAUUCCCUUAGUAGCGGCGAGCGAACCGGGAAAAGCCCAUCGCCGAAUCUCGCCGCGCACUUUUGUGUCGCGGCACGUAUGAGAGUUGUGGCGUACGGGCCGGGCCUCGUUGCCGGGGCGCACGUGACGGUCCAAGUCUCCCUUGAACGGGGCCAUGGCCCGCAGAUGGUGCCAGGCCAGUAGAGGCCGUCACAGCGUUCCGGGAUCGGACCGCGCCUUCGAGUCGGGUUGCUUGAGAGUGCAGCCCGAAGCGGGUGGUAAACUCCAUCUAAGGCUAAAUACGGCCACGAGACCGAUAGUUUACAAGUACCGUGAGGGAAAGUUGAAAAGAACUUUGAAGAGAGAGUUCAUAAGAACGUGAAACCGCUCGGUUGUAAACGGACAGAGCUCGCGAAUCCCCGCCGGGCGAAUUCACGGUCGGUCUAACCGCCGGCCGGAUCUUUCGCUCGGUUAGCGGACGUCGCGACCCGUUGGGCGCCGGCCGAAUGGCCCGGGUGACGUUCGUCGCGUCGGUCGCGUUUCGGCGUGACCGUUCGCGCCGAGCCCCGGUGCUCAUGGUCGGCUCGCCCGACGGCAAGAACCGUCGACGCGGCCCCGUCGCAGGCGGGGUCCCGUCGGUCGGCGACGUGUUUCGAGCUACUUUCCGACCCG